UACGAAGGGGGCUAGCGUUGCUCGGAAUCACUGGGCGUAAAGGGCGCGUAGGCGGCCAGCACAAGUCAGUUGUGAAAUCUCCGAGCUUAACUCGGAAAGGUCAACUGAUACUGUGCGGCUAGAGUGCAGAAGGGGCAACUGGAAUUCUUGGUGUAGCGGUGAAAUGCGUAGAUAUCAAGAGGAACACCUGCGGCGAAGGCGGGUUGCUGGGCUGACACUGACGCUGGAGGCGCGAAAGCUAGGGGAGCGAACGGG
rnacentral:rRNA from 1 species